rnacentral:rRNA from 1 species
GACGAACGCUGGCGGCGUGCCUAACACAUGCAAGUCGAGCGGGGGGAGUACUUCGGUACAAACCUAGCGGCGGACGGGUGAGUAACACGUGGGUAACCUGCCUCAAAGUGGGGGAUAGCCUUCCGAAAGGAAGAUUAAUACCGCAUAACCCAUAGCUUCCGCAUGGAAGCAAUGGUAAAGAUUUAUCGCUUUGAGAUGGACCCGCGGCGCAUUAGCUAGUUGGUGAGGUAACGGCUCACCAAGGCCACGAUGCGUAGCCGACCUGAGAGGGUGAUCGGCCACAUUGGAACUGAGACACGGUCCAGACUCCUACGGGAGGCAGCAGUGGGGAAUAUUGCACAAUGGGCGAAAGCCUGAUGCAGCAACGCCGCGUGAGUGAUGAAGGCCUUCGGGUUGUAAAGCUCUGUCUUUUGGGACGAUAAUGACGGUACCAAAGGAGGAAGCCACGGCUAACUACGUGCCAGCCGCCGCGGUAAAAC